rnacentral:rRNA from 1 species
AGAGUUUGAUCAUGGCUCAGGGUGAAUGCUAGCGGUGCGCCUAACACAUGCAAGUCGAGCGGUAAUAUUUUCUAGCUUGCUAGAGAAUAUGAGAGCGGCGAACGGGUGCGUAACACGUUGAUACCUGCCCUUAAGUCAGGGAUAGCCCAGGGAAACCUGGAUUAAUACCGGAUAGUCUCUUCGGAGUAAAAAUUUAUUGCUUAGGGAGGGGUCUGCGGCCUAUCAGCUAGUUGGUGAGGUAAUAGCUCACCAAGGCUAUGACGGGUAGCUGGUCUGAGAGGAUGACCAGCCACAAUGGAACUGAGACACGGUCCAUACUCCUACGGGAGGCAGCAGUGAGGAAUCUUCCACAAUGGGCGAAAGCCUGAUGGAGCGACACCGCGUGAAGGAUGAAGGUCUAACGAUUGUAAACUUCUUUUCUGAGGGAGCAUAAUGAGAGUACCUCAGGAAUAAGGGACGGCUAAAUACGUGCCAGCAGCCGCGGUAAUACGUAUGUCCCAAGCAUUACCCGGAAUUACUGGGUGUAAAGGGUUUGUAGGUGGUUAAAUAAGUCAGGUAUGAAAGACCGGAGCUCAACUCCGUGUUUGUGCUUGAAACUGUUUAACUAGAAUCAGGGAGAGGUAAGCGGAAUUCUGAGUGUAGGGGUGCAAUCCGUAGAUACUCAGAGGAACACCAAAAGCGAAGGCAGCUUACUGGAACUGUAUUGACACUGAAAAACGAAAGCGUGGGGAGCGAAAAGGAUUAGAUACCCUAGUAGUCC